UACCCGUCACUGCCAUUAGUGCUGUGACGGCAUCGUGUCUGGUGGAGUUUGCAAAAAGACUCCACAAAAAAGUGAUCUGCUUAGGCAGUGUGUACGGGAUAGUUGGUUGUACCAGCCAGACAACGUUGGUUUGAAAGUAUUUGGCGUCACGUGCGACGUCAAUGCCGUUACGUUAAAAUGCUUUCCCUCCGUGGUUUCCAUGGUUUCGGUGGGUGGUAAACAUAGCAUGCCGCCAAACACAGCUGGCCUGGCCGGGACUUGCAUGGCUGAAGCGGAAACAUUGCAAAAAUACACCCCGGCAUUCAUUGCAGUCAGUCUCCCUCACUACUCGCAAAGGGGCAGAACAUCAGAGACUCCUUCGAUGGAUGAACCUCGUGCCACUCCGCUCUACCUCGGGUGUGAUGGCAGGCCAACUUUUCUGACGAGCGGAAGAAGCCCAACCAUGUGGAACAUUUUCUCAGCUGUGUUCUGCGCUAACUGACUGGGUGCGCUGUUGCUACUGAUUUGUACCAUUGCAUUUGCUUGUACUAUUACAGUGAGAUA